ACGAACGCUGGCGGCGUGCUUAACACAUGCAGGUCGAACGGAAAGGCCCCUUUGGGGGUACUCGAGUGGCGAACGGGUGAGUAACACGUGAGUAACCUGCCCUUGACUUCGGGAUAACUUCAGGAAACUGGGGCUAAUACCGGAUAGGAAUCCUUGCUGCAUGGUGGGGGUUGGAAAGCUUCGGCGGUUUUGGAUGGACUCGCGGCUUAUCAGCUUGUUGGUGGGGUAGUGGCUUACCAAGGCUUUGACGGGUAGCCGGCCUGAGAGGGCGACCGGCCACAUUGGGACUGAGAUACGGCCCAGACUCCUACGGGAGGCAGCAGUGGGGAAUAUUGCACAAUGGGCGGAAGCCUGAUGCAGCAACGCCGCGUGCGGGAUGACGGCCUUCGGGUUGGAAACCGCUUUCAGCAGGGGCGAAGCUUGUGGUGACGGUACCUGCAGAAGAAGCACCGGCUAACUACGUG
rnacentral:rRNA from 1 species